CAGGGCUGGCGCCGUACUUUCCAUUCGCUCUCGAGCUCAGGCAGCCAUGUGAUGAAGUUCUGUUCUUCCCUCACACCUGCUCAUCCUGGGGAUGGAAUAAGAUGCUUUCAGAUGACGAUGCCUCGUGCAUCUUCAGCAAACUAGUCUUGGAAGGAUUUCGUGGAUGUGAUUUCUAAUGGAGGAUGUUCGUUUAUCCGUUUCACAUCCAGAUGACCGGUUUUUCAGUGCCAUGGGGAGAGUCCAAGGAGAAUAGGCAGCUGGAGCUCGGAGUCGCCCGCAGGAGGAAGUGGAGGCAGUGCUGCCUCAUGAGGCUGAUGCAACAUGAGGGUCGGCAGACAAAUGAAGGAUGCUAGAGGAAUCAUGGGAAGGAUAUGAUCUGGAUACUUUAAUUUCACAUCAGUGAUGAUGAAAGUAACAUCAACCAUAGUUCACAUAUCAUCAUACGAAGAUGGCUAAGAUGAUUCAAUCAAAGGGAGGCCCUUGUUAGACGAGGUGUCGCUGAAAUGAAUUAGCUUGAUUCACAGUCUUCUCCACAGCCUGGAGGAAAAGUCUAUGGGGGAAGCUAAACUAUGGCUUAACAUAUCCAGGGAACAUUAAAUUUGGACAUCUCAAUGGACAGUGGGAGGGACGGGCUGUCUGCGAGACAGACUAUUGUCCCGCCACGGUCUCAAACCCCACUAGAGUCUCUCCCCCAUUCUUAGAGUCAGACAAGGCUAAGAGGUUUCCACAUUCACGUCCACCUCAACUCGCUCCCCACUUCACCGGAGCAAUGCAUGAUACCAGCUCACUUCAGCCCACAGAGGAGACCAGACUGCAGCUGCCUGUCUGGGGCUGCAUGAAAGAACGGGGUGUUUUUCAGCUGGGGCGGAGAGGGAAACUGUGAAUACCCUCCCAAAGAGAGAUGAGGCAUAUUGAAAACUAUAUUAAAUUACCCUGAUUAACAAUUUAGCCACGAACAGGAGAGGUAGGGAGGGGCUCUAUUGGCAGAGCCAAAGCCUAUUCACCAGCAGAGCGGCGGGGUCGAAAGGUCCCCCAAGUUCACAGGCUCUGCAGCUUUGUUAUGCUAACACACAAUCUCAAAUCAGCAGCCAAGUGAAGUGUGAAAUAGAAAUGAUUCCUUGAGAACUUUCAGCAAGUUUGUCGUCCACCCCACCCCCCACCCCCCCCCCCCCUCA